CAGGGGAAAGGUUCAAUCAAAUCAUUUCCUGCAAAAUGCUGCCGGGAAGUCUCCUGUUUUUCCGAGAAUUCUAAGGGCACUCACCUUUGAUGAUUGGCUCAGAAGUAAACAGACCAAGGAGCAAACAGACCAAUCAGUGCUGACGGAACACUGGUGUGCGAACCCAAGAGCCCUUCUUCAAGCUCGGAAAGGCAUCGAUGGGCUUAACUGUUGAAAACAAGCACGGUAUAUCUGUUGCAAAACUGCUUCAUCACUGGACAGGCUCUGGUGGUUCUGGUGCUCUCCACGUGUAUCCAGUGUGACCAGUAUCAGUACCUGGAGAGGGGGGUUUUGGUUAUGGCAGGUACCUGCAGGUGGUCUCGGAGCAGGGUACCAGUCUGGAUACAGAGACCACAGUCACCUCAGGCAUUCAUCGCCAGUGACCGACCUUCAAACAACAGGAAACUAAAGCAACCGUGCCGAAAUUUUUUAAAAAUAAAACUGCCUUCGCAGCAUAACAGAAAUAGAUCUGCUGUAUGGACACUGCACUUUACCAAGCACCUUUUUCCGGCUCUCACCAACUACAAGAGCAGUCCAGAAUGUGCCGGAAUGUUACCUGGGACAGAAGAGGUUCCUGUGUGCCUCCUGAGGGCAGACUGGGGGUCCUGUCUGUUCAUACCUGUGGAAUGCACACACACAUACGCGGGAUGGAGAAAGGACUGAAUGUACCCGUCGGGUUGUUCCUGCAGCUAGAGAAACUGAAGGAAACGGUGUCUGUGCUGUUUUCUGAGAGCAGUGAUGGUGUGGACGGUCAUCAUACCUUGAGCUGGCCACUGCACAGUAAGCUGCAGAAAUAUGCUACUGGAAUAAAGUUCAGAUCCACACUGUCCUGGGAGGGAGUGACCGAACAGAGCAGGUGAACAGCAUUCCAUGACUGGGAGGAUGCAGAUGUUCGUGGAUAUCUAAAGAAGAACAACGCUGUGGUGUACAAGCUGUAAUCAGAGCAACACUUAACUGCAACAUGGUCAGGAUCUCGCCUCAGCUACACAGCUGUGGCAAGCAAAUGAGUCUAAACCUUUCUAAAAAUAAAGUGAACCUUGCUUUCAAAGGGCUUUCAAAAGUGAGACAGGAGAAUCUUUUUUUAAUAAGGAACACACAGCUAAAGCUGUGGAGUGCAGAGCUGUUUCUCUGUCAAACAGUGCUCACAUAUGAAGCGUAAAAUAUCCACUCCAUCUGCACACUGAUGCAAAAAAAUUGUCGAUACAUUAACUGAUUAUUUUUGGCAGGUACUGGAAUGUUAUCAAGAUUGCCUUUGGUUUGCUUGAAUGUUCACUGAUUUGUAUGAAUGGGCACUGGAUUAAAUAUGUAUUAUGUAUGACAAAGACACCCUGCUUUCACUCCGGGCUUUUCUGAUGUACAAUCAACAGGUUUCAUUCUGGACUCACCAAGGCAACAGAAUUGCAAUUACUGUCUGAUAAAAGUCCUCCUCUCCUCUCACCUGUUGAAACUGAAGUUUGGCGUGUGGGAGUGUAGUCCAGCGUAGACGGAUAUAGGACUCCCUUCCUUGGCUUGCCGACUGUAAAAGACGACCAUAACCACAACCACAACAAGCUGAGGUCUGCUACUGGAUGAUAUACUGUACCACAUCUCAAAGUCAUUCCUGACCUCCUGGAACCCAUGUUAAAUGUAUUUUCGUAUUUAUGAUCACUUUUAUACUCUUAAAGCGCCCACCAGCACAAAGAACUAUAAUAAUAAUGAAAUAAAAAUGUAUCGGUUGUUUCCCUUUUUUGGGAAAGUUGU